GAAGCAGCAAACCGAGCAUCAGGUGCCUGCUGUGCAGUGGGAUUGGAGGACUCAUUAACAUACGAUGAUGCUUCCGAACAUGUAAGGACCACCAGCAAUAGCACGCAGUUCCACGAACUAAAAGCCAUAAGCAUCGCAGGACCCAUGCCUGUGCGUCUUUUACUUCGCACCUGGUUCCUGAUGUGUGCCACGCCUCUGCGGCAAGGUGAGUUUCCAGCUGCAUUACCUGACCAAGAGGUAAUUGAUUUGCAAUCCAGAAGUCAUUCCCAAAGAAGUCCAGUGCGAUGACUCUGCAGGAAAUGGGUUGAAACUGGAAGACAGAUGUAGCCCACUUCCACCAUGAAAAUCCAGAUGCCUAGUUGGAUUUCCAACGUUGUCUUAAAUAGCAGGCUUUGCAGUUGAAUGGUUUCUGGAACUAAACCAUCCCGGGCAAGAAUCUUGAUGAGGCACUUCAGCAAGUUGAUACUUCAGAUAGGCCUGACUAAGACGAAGUCCUGUACUGUCAGUUUCCCUUCAAUCCCAGAUUUUAGAGUCAUUUAUGAAAUGUCUGUACUUCAGCAAA